rnacentral:rRNA from 1 species
CCUACGGGAGGCAGCAGUGAGGAAUAUUGGUCAAUGGGCGGGAGCCUGAACCAGCCAAGCCGCGUGAGGGAAGAAGGUACAGCGUAUCGUAAACCUCUUUUGUCAGGGAACAAAGGCGGGGACUAGUCCCCGGAUGAGGGUACCUGAAGAAAAAGCAUCGGCUAACUCCGUGCCAGCAGCCGCGGUAAUACGGGGGAUGCGAGCGUUAUCCGGAUUUAUUGGGUUUAAAGGGUGCGCAGGCGGCCUUUUACGGGAGGGGUAAAAGCGCGGGGCUCAACCCCGGCGAGCCGGUGAGACUGGCGGGCUGGAGUGGGAGAGAAGUACGCGGAAGGCGCGGUGGAGCGGGGAAAUGCUGAGAUAUCGCGCAGAACCCCGAUUGCGAAGGCAGCGUACCGGCUCCACACUGACGCUGAGGCACGAAAGCGUGGGUAUCGAACAGGAGUAGAUACCCCAGUAGUC